rnacentral:sRNA from 1 species
GAGCUUACCGGCCUCGUCCAACACUACU